rnacentral:rRNA from 1 species
UACCAGACUCCUACGGGAGGCAGCAGUGGGGAAUAUUGCACAAUGGGCGAAAGCCUGAUGCAGCGACGCCGCGUGAGUGAAGAAGUAUUUCGGUAUGUAAAGCUCUAUCAGCAGGGAAGAAAAAAGACGGUACCUGACUAAGAAGCCCCGGCUAACUACGUGCCAGCAGCCGCGGUCAUACGUAGGGGGCAAGCGUUAUCCGGAAUUACUGGGUGUAAAGGGUGCGUAGGUGGCAUGGUAAGUCAGAAGUGAAAGCCCGGGGCUUAACCCCGGGACUGCUUUUGAAACUGUCAUGCUGGAGUGCAGGAGAGGUAAGCGGAAUUCCUAGUGUAGCGGUGAAAUGCGUAGAUAUUAGGAGGAACACCAGUGGCGAAGGCGGCUUACUGGACUGUCACUGACACUGAUGCACGAAAGCGUGGGGAGCAAACAGGAUUAGAUACCCCAGUACU